AAAGGGUGCGUAGGCGGUUCCGUAAGUCGGAUGUGAAAUCUUGGGGCUCAACCUCAAAACUGCAUUCGAUACUGCGGGGCUAGAGGACUGGAGAGGAGAGUGGAAUUCACGGUGUAGCAGUGAAAUGCGUAGAUAUCGUGAGGAAGACCAGCGGCGAAGGCGGCUCUCUGGACAGUUCCUGACGCUGAUGCACGAAGGCCAGGGGAGCAAACGGGAUUAGAUACCCCAGU
rnacentral:rRNA from 1 species